rnacentral:lncRNA from 1 species
CCAGCCCAGGAUCCAGAACGAGACUCGUCAUACAGCCUGGCAGAUCCGCUCGAGCGUACGCACGGGGGAGAAUCAGAGGCCGUUACGCAUGGAGCAGGCGCCUGAUAUCCUCGUACGCCCAUAUCUGUAUGGCAGAGACGCGUGGCCCAAUCAUAGGAGAGCCGUAGUACGUCAUCAGCAAGCAGACAGAAAGGAUAAAAGGGAUACCCCUCUAGAGAGAUAGACCAAGCUUUAUCCUUCAAUACCAAAACCCUUGU